AAUGAACGCUGGCGGCGCGCCUAAUACAUGCAAGUCGAGCGAGAAGACGUAGCAAUACGUUUGUAAAGCGGCGAACGGGUGAGGAAUACAUGGGGUAACCUACCCUCGAGUGGGGAAUAACUAGCCGAAAGGUUAGCUAAUACCGCGUACGCUUCUUGGACUUCGGUUCAGGGAGGAAAGCGAUACCGUGGGUAUCGCGCUCUUGGAUGGGCUCAUGUCCUAUCAGCUUGUUGGUGAGGUAACGGCUCACCAAGGCUUCGACGGGUAGCUGGUCUGAGAGGACGAUCAGCCACACUGGCACUGCGACACGGGCCAGACUCCUACGGGAGGCAGCAGUAAGGAAUAUUGCGCAAUGGGCGAAAGCCUGACGCAGCGACGCCGCGUGGGGGAUGAAGGUCUUCGGAUUGUAAACCCCUUUCGGGAGGGAAGAUGGAACGAGCAAUCGUUCGACGGUACCUCCAGAAGCAGCCACGGCUAACUUCGUGCCA
rnacentral:rRNA from 1 species